CUUGGAAGGGACCUAUUCCUAAUGGCAGCCCUUCACUUACUUGAAGGAAUUCUCCUCCAUUAGGCAGAAGUGGGCAAAAUUCCCUUCCACAACCAGAGAAGAAAGGAAGAGAGGAUGAACAAACAGCCAUCAGCCAUCCUGCCUCCAUUAUUUGGCAUUUGACAUACUCUGGAAAUGAACAAAAGAUGUCAGGUAUCAGCAAAGGACAAAUGUAGAAUAUAGCACAUGAACUAAGCUUUGGAAGAAACUAAGAAUUUGAAGAAACAGGGAAGAAGAAGGAGUCAUUCUGGGCAUGGGGGCAUCUCACGCAAGGGUUCAAGGAUAAGAAACGGAAUGUCUUGUGUGAGGAGCAGCAAGAAAGCCACUUUGGUUUGCCUGUAGAACAUGUGAAGGGGAGUAAUGUUUACACCAAUGACUUAUAUGAACUGAUAAAGAGGAAGGAAAGCAUAGCUGCAAGAGUAAUUUACACCAUGAC